rnacentral:pre_miRNA from 1 species
UGGGGGGGGGACGCAGCAGGCCGGGGAGCUCAAGACCGCCCUGCACUGCCCGUCCUGCCCCCAGA